GAUAAACGCUGGCGGCGUGCCUAACACAUGCAAGUCGAACGAAGAUUUUAUGGAAUGCGGCUUCGGCCAAAUGAAGUUUAAUCUUAGUGGCGGACGGGUGAGUAACGCGUGAGCAACCUGCCUUUCAGAGGGGGAUAACGUUUGGAAACGAACGCUAAUACCGCAUGAUGUAACGGAAUCGCAUGAUUUUGUUACCAAAGGAGCAAUCCGCUGAAAGAUAGUCUCGCGUCUGAUUAGCUAGAUGGCGGGGUAACGGCCCACCAUGGCGACGAUCAGUAGCCGGUCUGAGAGGAUGAACGGCCACAUUGGGACUGAGAUACGGCCCAGACUCCUACGGGAGGCAGCAGUGGGGAACAUUGGGCAAUGGACGCAAGUCUGACCCAGCAACGCCGCGUGAAGGAAGACGGUCUUCGGAUUGUAAACUUUUGUUCUUAGUGAAGAAGAAUGACGGUAGCUAAGGAGAAAGCCACGGCUAACUACGUG
rnacentral:rRNA from 1 species